rnacentral:rRNA from 1 species
UACGUAGGGGGCAAGCGUUGUCCGGAAUCAUUGGGCGUAAAGAGCGUGUAGGCGGCCCGAUAAGUCCGCUGUGAAAGUCCAGGGCUCAACCCUGGGAUGCCGGUGGAUACUGUCGGGCUCGAGUCCGGAAGAGGAGUAUGGAAUUCCUGGUGUAGCGGUGAAAUGCGCAGAUAUCAGGAGGAACACCAAUGGCGAAGGCAGCACUCUGGGACGUGACUGACGCUGAGACGCGAAAGCGUGGGGGAGCAAACAGG